UCGUGUCUUGAAUUUACCAAAUGAUGAAACUCUGGUGAGAGACCACCGGAGAAGACGAUCAGAGUUUUCCUCAAGUGGUCUCUGUUUGAACCAGACACGUUGGUAAAUUGAAAUGUUUUGAUUGGUUGAAUUUAAACUGGAUCAUGUAUUUGGUUUGUAGCGUGUUCCAGCAUGCGUCCUAAUCUUUGGAGUGUUGGAUCUUCCACGUCAAUUAAUGAGGCGCGAUCCAACGCUCAGUGUUUUUUUUUAUUCUUU
rnacentral:lncRNA from 1 species